UUAUUUUAUUUUCUCCUUAUUUGGACAUAACUUUGAAUAUCCAUUUAUUAAAUUUCUAGUUAAUAAUUUUGAUUUGUUGGAUUGGUACAACUGGACGAAGCCUUGUCGGUUGACCAGCCAGCGAUUUCCUCUUCUUCUUGUUCUAAAAGGCCUAGCUGUGGCAUCUCAAAAUGUAGCAUGUGAUUUGAAUUAUGAAAUAUCUAAAUUUUUUACUACAAAAUUUUUCUUUUAAAUUAUGCUAAAGUAGCAUAAAAUGUAAAUCUACAAUGCCUGAUUGAAUUUUAUAUUUGAAUAACCCCAGUUGGGUAAGUUUUUUUUAUUUUACCAUUAAUUUUGAAUGACCGGACAAAUAUAAUACCAGGAUAAAUACAGGAUGAAGGAGACUACACAUUUUCCAUAAACUCAAGCAAAUUCAACCAAAUAUUUUGGAAUUCCAGUACAGUAUGAAAAUUAAAUUUCAAUUUACAAUUCGAAGUGGGGUAAGCAGAACACUUGUUUUACAAUUCGGCUUCUAAUUCAACCAAGUCCAUCGAAUUUUAUGAGUUUCAAACUUCGUUAAUCGUCGCUUAUCUACGAUUCUACAUCACACUGAAGCUUCAGUUGUAGGCCUACCGGGUUACUAACAUAGAUUUAAUAAUCAAAACUUGUAAACUGAAUAUUUUGUAACUUCAGAAAUGAAAUUGAUUUUUAAUGUUGAAAAUAUAAGAUUCAAUCGGA
rnacentral:lncRNA from 1 species